UCUAGCGAUAUCAUUUUCCAGAAACUUCAAAAAAAAAAAAGGAAGAGAGGGGGUGGAACCCCUUCCCUCACCCGCGUCCCUUCUCUCUCUCUCCUUCAACUCAGCUCAUCUCCUUUUUCUCUUUGCCAACGAUCCUCGCCGUGGAUCCCUCCUCACCAACACCCUUAUUGUUGUUGUUUGAUGUUGUUGUUGUUGCCCUGCUCCUCUUUCCCGUUGUAUCCCCUCCCUCUGCUGCUUCUCUCUCUCUCUCGUCCUCCCCUCGUGCUACCGCCGCCGCCACCAACGGUGGUCUUGGAUUGCUCCUAGUUGCUUCAAUUGCAUGGUAACUUCCUAUGCUCUUUCCAUUAAUUGAAUGAUCUAUUCUAAUCGAAAAUCUAAAACUCCAACCAAUCUAUUUCAAUUUUCUCUUCCACCUCGGCGUGCGCCGCCCUUCUGGUUGCCUUCGUCGCCGCCCUUGUUGUGGUUGUGAUGUUGUCACGGUGUUCUACACCUCUUCCUUGUUGCUUCCUCUGUCGUCCUCUGUCUCCUCUCCUCCGUGGGCCGAGCUGGUGGCUUGUCGGAAUUGCUGAUGUUGUUGAUUUCCUGUUGCUUACCUUCCUGCGUCACUAUAGGGUGGAUUGAUUGGAGAGCAAUUAAAGUGAUUGAAUGGUGAAGCAUAAACGGAGAAUGAUGACCGAAUGAGAAUCAUUGGAGCUAAGGUGCUUAGGGGUUGAGAGUUAAAAUGUUUUGCAGGCAGCGAGAAUCAAGUCUCAGUUCAUGUUCAAGGUGCGUAGAGUCCUCCAAGGCCUUAUAUGUUUUAAGGCGGGCAUAUGGAUUCUCCAAGUGUAUUUAAGUCCUUCCUAAUUAAGUAAUGGGUUGUAUUAUUUGUUUCUAGAGUUUUUUUUCUUCUUUUGGUUAUCAUUUAUGGAUUAUAUAUCCUUGUUGAGUUGGUGUCACUCCAAGGAUGUUUUGGGAAAUGUUAUAUGCUGGAAUGAUGUAAUAGCAGGUGAAAGAAAAUCUGACGUAAUUUCCUAAAUAGUAUUUUAGGUCGUCCAUAUUUAGGGGAAGUGCUACCGAAUUUUUUUUAAUAACUAAUUAAGUUUAAGGGUCUUGAUUAGUGUCUUUGAGAUAGGCUAAACCGUGAUUAAAUCCUUGAAGUUGUUUGAAGAUUUAAAGUUUCUUUAGCA